rnacentral:lncRNA from 1 species
GGGUGUUUACAGCACCAAAACCCCAAAUGUCCCAAUUCCCCAAAUCCUGCUGGGCCUGGGCGCCUCCAGCUUCGAGUUCAGGCUGGAUCCCAGUGCUGACCCCGAACUGGCUCUGGUAGAGACAUCGAAAUUCCCAGGAAUUGGGGAAUUUCCAAUGUUGUGAUCCCACAAACCCCGAAUCUCCUGACUCCCACAACACCAACCCCAAAGUUCUCAGGAAUUGGGCAAUUCCCAAUGUCAGAUUUCCCACAAAACCCCGAAUCUCCACAGCACCGAACCCCAGGGCUCCCAUUUCUUGCACCGCCAGCUGUGUUUGGGGUGUUUUGGGGUGUUGUGUCCCAUUUCCCUGAUCCCAGUCCCUGUGUUUUGGGUGUUCUGUCCCGUUUCCCCAUCCCAGUCCCUGUUUUUGGGGUGUUGUGUCCCGUUUCCCCAUCCCAGUCCCUGUGUUUGGGGUGUUUUGGGGUGUUUUUGGGG